AGAGUUUGAUCCUGGCUCAGAACGAACGCUGGCGGCGUGCCUAACACAUGCAAGUCGAACGGUUCCAUAAGGGGGACUGGGCGGCCGGGGAUUAAAUGCGUUUAAAUCUUCGGAAGUCGAGUCCCUCUUAUGGGAUAGUGGCGCACGGGUGAGUAACACGUAGGCAACCUACCCCAAAGCGGGGGAUAACAUUCGGAAACGGGUGCUAAUACCGCGUAAGCCCACGGAUUGGGAUAUCUGUGGGAAAAGGAGCAAUCCACUUUGGGAUGGGCCUGCGGCCUAUCAGGUAGUUGGCGGGGUAACGGCCCACCAAGCCUAAGACGGGUAGCCGGUCUGAGAGGAUGAACGGCCACACUGGAACUGAGACACGGUCCAGACUCCUACGGGAGGCAGCAGUGGGGAAUUUUGCGCAAUGGGGGAAACCCUGACGCAGCGACGCCGCGUGGAGGACGAAGGCCUUCGGGUUGUAAACUCCUUUUGCCAAGGAAAAUGAUGAUGGUACUUGGCGAAUAAGCCACGGCUAACUCUGUGCCAGCAGCCGCGGUAAGACAGAGGUGGCAAGCGUUGUUCGGAAUCACUGGGCUUAAAGGGCGCGUAGGCGGCAGGGUAAGUCUAAGGUGGAAUCUUGGGGCUCAACCCCAAAACUGCCUUGGAAACUGCUUUGCUUGAGUCAGUAAGGGGAGAGCGGAAUUCCUGGUGUAGCAGUGAAAUGCGUAGAUAUCAGGAGGAAGGCCGGUGGCGAAGGCGGCUCUCUGGUGCUUGACUGACGCUGAGGCGCGAAAGCGUGGGUAGCAAACAGGAUUAGAUACCCUGGUAGUCC
rnacentral:rRNA from 1 species